CUGGUUGAUCCUGCCAGUAGUCAUAUGCUUGUCUCAAAGAUUAAGCCAUGCAUGUCUCAGUACUUGCCGACCUAAGGCGAAACCGCGAAUGGCUCAUUAAAUCAGUCAUGAUUUAUGGGAUGUUGUUAAAUUGUUACUCGGAUAACUGUGGUAAUUCUAGAGCUAAUACGUGCAAUACGUCUCCGACCUCGGCCCUCGCGGUCGAGGGAAGGGCGCAUUUGUUAGACCAAAAACCGGGUGGACAGUCGUUGGGCAAUCUCCGUUUCCGCGGUAGCUCUAGCCCACGUCCAUUCCUCUACGGUUAAGUGGUGACUCUGAAUAACUACAGCCGAGCGCUGAGGUCUUAGUACCGGCGCCGUAUCUUUCAAGUGUCUGCCUUAUCAGCUCUCGAUUGUAGGUUAUUCGCCUACAAUGGCUGUAACGGGUAACGGGGAAUCAGGGUUCGAUUCCGGAGAGGGAGCCUGAGAAACGGCUACCACAUCUAAGGAAGGCAGCAGGCACGCAAAUUACCCAAUCCCGGCUCGGGGAGGUAGUGACGAAAAAUAACGAUGCGGGACUCUUCCGAGGCCUCGCAAUCGGAAUGAGUUCAAUUUAAAAACUUGGACGAGGAUCCAUUGGAGGGCAAGUCUGGUGCCAGCAGCCGCGGUAAUUCCAGCUCCAAUAGCGUAUAUUAAAGUUGCUGCGGUUAAAAAGCUCGUAGUUGGAUUUCUGAUGCGGACCGGGGGCCCAUCCAAGGCGCGCCCUCGUCUUUAGCGAGCGGCGUUCCUCGGGGUUCUUCCCGUGUCUCGGCGGCGGCCGAAGGGGGUUGCCUAAGGGGGGUUUCGUAGGAGCUUUCGGGUUCGGUCAUAACCUCUUCUUCCUCGGCUUCUUCGCGGGCGUCGUACGUGUUCCUCGCUUAAAGGCGGGCGUCUUCGGCGACUCUCACUAUCCCUCUCGAACUGUCGGUGGCGAUAAAUCCGGAUCAGCAGUGGGCAGGGUCAAAAAGCUUCGUCGCGAGUCGGUGGGGACCUUCUUCCCUAAGGGUUUCCUCCGCUGCGAGUCGCCUCUCCCCGCGUUUCCUAGCUUCCUCUUUCGCUUUCGCUCGUCUCCGCGCAAUAAAAAUGCCGAUUCCGUCUCGUCAGCAUACCAAACCGUCGACGCGCUUACGCCGUCGGGCCGGUCGUCGUUGUCGUCGUCGCUUAACGCGGCGCGCGCGCGGCGGUCUGUUCCGACGGGUCGGCGUAUCGGCGGGCGGCGAGAUCGGGCGGCCGUAAUGAAAGGCGGGGGCGUUACAUGGGCGAGCGGAAAAUAACGGGGUGGAAAAGGGGCGCUGGUGACGCGAUUCGCGCACGCGGGUUUACCCGUUAUAAAAGGGUGGCUUUCGGCUCUCCUCCGUCGCGUCGUGGGUCUUUCCUGCUCUCUCCCGGCUCUGUCGCUUUCGUCGUCGUAGGGUGGAGUUUCGUUCAGGGGUCGUUCCGUUGAGGUUCGGGCGGCUUCGCUCUCGCGGUACGGUCGGGGUUUAACGUUUAUCACGGCCGGCUCGUUGGUUUCCUUCUUCGCCUCCCUUACUCCUCCUCUCGGGUAGAUCCCGUCGUUCGAGGCGAUAAAAAGCGGGGGGGCUAAAGCUCCGAGGCUGCGUUUUCGCUCCUGGAAGGGUAAGCGCGCCCGGUGGUUCACUGCCCGGCUCCGUAGUUAGAAAAGCCGUCGGCUCUCACGGGGUGCUCUUUACCGAGUGUCCCGCGUGGCCGACAAGUUCACUUUGAAAAAAUUAGAGUGCUCAAAGCAGGCUAAAAUAUUUAUGCCCGAAUGGUAGCGCAUGGAAUGAUGGAACAGGACCUCGAUCCUGCCUUUUUCAGCCCGGUUUUUCGGAAUCGAGGUAAUGAUUAACGGGGACAGACGGGGGCAUUAGUAUUGCGGCGCGAGAGGUGAAAUUCUUGGACCGUCGCAAGACUAACUACUGCGAAAGCAUUUGCCAAGAAUGUUUUCAUUAAUCAAGAACGAAAGUUAGAGGAUCGAAGGCGAUCAGAUACCGCCCUAGUUCUAACCAUAAACGAUGCCAACUGGCGAUCCGUCGGCGUCAUUCCCACGACUCGACGGGGAGCCCCAGGGAAACCAAAGUCUUUGGGUUCCGGGGGAAGUAUGGUUGCAAAGCUGAAACUUAAAGGAAUUGACGGAAGGGCACCACCAGGAGUGGAGCCUGCGGCUUAAUUUGACCCAACACGGGGAACCUCACCAGGCCCAGACACUGGAAGGAUUGACAGAUUGAGAGCUCUUUCUCGAUUCGGUGGUUGGUGGUGCAUGGCCGUUCUUAGUUGGUGGAGCGAUCUGUCUGGUUGAUUCCGAUAACGAACGAGACUCUAUCCUGCUAACUAGUCGGCGGAUCGACUCCCAAGRCGGGUUUCCAUCCGCGGGGUUUUCGGGCGGGGGUUGCCCCGACCCGUCGUCGUUCCCUCGCGGUCUCGUUGCUGCCGUUGCCGCUGCGGGGGCGUGGCGGUGGUCGGCGCUCGGCGAUAAGAUGGAUUCGUUUAUCGGGCAUCCUCSUCGUCGUCGKSGGGGGGGAGUUCGCGCUCUUUCUCCGGCGGCGGCGGCUGGGGCUGCUCGGUGGCGGGUCGUCCUCGCCGACGCUCCGUCGCUAUUCCUUCGCGCGCGGCGCGGUUCGCGGUUCGCUUGGGGCUGAAGCGGCGGCGGUGUUCGAGGUCCUCGUCUUGCCUCGCGCGUUGGGGCUCUGCGAGGGGCGUCCGUCGCAAUAUCUUCUUAGAGGGAUCGGCGGCGUCCAGCCGCAAGAGAGAGAGCAAUAACAGGUCUGUGAUGCCCUUAGAUGUCCUGGGCAGCACGCGCGCUACAAUGUAGGGAUCAACGUGCUUUCCCCCUCCGAAAGGAGCGGGUAACCCGUUGAAACCCCUACCCGAUUGGGAUUGGGGAUUGUAAGUGUUUCCCAUGAACGAGGAAUUCCCAGUAAGCGCAAGUCAUCAGCUUGCGCUGAUUACGUCCCUGCCCUUUGUACACACCGCCCGUCGCUACUACCGAUUGAAUGAUUCAGUGAGGGCAUCGGACUGGCGCCUUCGGUAGCCGUCGGCUCGUAUCCCAAACUCCGCUUCGGCGGGGGCGGUCGCCGGCACCCUAGGCUGACGGAAAGAUGUCCGAACUUGAUUAUUUAGAGGAAGUAAAAGUCGUAACAAGG
rnacentral:rRNA from 1 species